rnacentral:rRNA from 1 species
UUUUAUUAUUAAUUUAGAUUUAUUAAUCUUUAGGAAAUUUAUUAAUAUGUUAUAUUAAACAUUAAAAUAUAGGUAAUUAUGAUUAAAUUAGUAUAAUUUUAAUGUUUAAUUAUCUACAUUUUUAAGAUUGAAUUAAGGAAUUCGGCAAAUUUAGUUUCUGCCUGUUUAUUAAAAACAUGUCUUUUUGUGAUUAUUUGAAGUCGGGCCUGCCCUAUGAUUAUUUAAAUGGCCGCGGUAUUUUGACCGUGCAAAGGUAGCAUAAUAAUUAGUUUCUUAAUUAGAAGCUGGUAUGAAUGGUUUGACAAGAAAAUUUCUGUCUCGAUUUAAUUAUUAGAAUUUAACUUUUGAGUCAAAAGGCUUAAAUGUUUUUAAAAGACGAGAAGACCCUAUAGAAUUUUAUAUUUGAUUUAAUUAGAAUUUUAUGGUUUAUUUAUUUUUAAUUAGGUUUAGUAUUUUGUUGGGGUGAUGGAAAAACUUAACUAACUUUUUCUUAUUUUAUUCAUUAAUUUAUGA